UUUUAUUUUUUUUGGAAUGGGCUUUUUUCCCCCCUUGCAUCCGUGGUUUGGCUUUCACGGUUCAUUUUUCCCCUCAGGUCCUCCAUGUCAGCUUACUGCAACAGAAAGAAAAGAAGCAGCAUGGCAUCGUCAGAUGAGACGUAGACUACGAUGAUGACAACGCCCAGGACGAUGGAGACGAUACUGAGCAGACGAGCCAGUCGACCCAGCCUCCUGGCUCCGUCAAUAUCCCCCACCUGGAGACUGUUUCUGGACUGGAGAUUCACAAAAGAACACGGUAUUACCAAGAGGAACAUUUUAAUGAUAAUUUUGAGCAAGGCAUAGUAUAAGAUAUUACAUAAUAAUUGUAAACCAAACCAUACACAUAAGGGUAAAAAAGGGGUUAAUGAAUGUAUUUCAUUCCCCUCUGGUACAUUUUCAACUAACUGCUCAAAUCAAAGAUAAGGAAUGUUGUUAUAUUCUAGUUAGAGGGAUGAUAGAUCACAAAGAAGUUACUUUAUUUAAUGUAUAUAUUCCACUGGAAUGAUAGACAUCUGUAUGGAGGGACCUUCACUCUACUGAAAAGCAAUUUACUUAUUACCCCCCUUGCCAUGCAGAAUACUUCAGAUUAGAUUACUUUUUCAUGUCUAUUGCAGAUAUAUAAUUUAUAAAAGUAAUUGUGUGCACAUCCCACCUUCUGGCAGGUGCAAGACAAAUGAAAGUACUUA